rnacentral:lncRNA from 10 species
UGUGGCACUUGAUUGCCCUGGUGGUGUUUACCUCACAAAUGCUGCCUAAUUCAGGCCAGAGGGAAGGCAGAGCCAGUGAAAAGAGCUCCACGGGCUAGAAGGGGGUGGACCCAGGAAGAGAUGGCCUCCCCCUGUCCCUGACUCAACUGGAGCUCAGUUCACUCUGCUUUGAAGGAGUAGGAGGAGAACACUACUCACAAAAAGGAGGGCAAGAACCGGCUUGUUCACCAUUGUAUUCCUGCACCACAGCAUAAGCACUCAAUCAUUAUGGGUUAAAGGCUGAAAUUCAAAAAGAGAAAGGGAGAUGUUAGACACCUACUGACCAAGGAGGUGCCCUCCAUUCUGCUUAACCACCGCCCAGGCCAGUCAUUUCUCUCCCUGGAAGACUUUGAGUCAUGCACGCGCAAGGAAAAUGAGAGACAGGGUUUCACCAUGUUGGUCUCAAACUCCUGACCUCAAGUGAUCCACCUGCCUCAGCCUCCCAAAGUGCUGGGAUUACAGACGUGAGCCACUGCCACACAGCCGAAUAAAGGACAAGAGUAGCAAAGAGGAUUAUGAGCAGUGCAAUACAAAACAAGGCUGCAACAAAAGGUGAAGAAAUACUUCAGUGCAUGCCGUGUGCAGCCUAGAAGUUACAUAUGCAAUU